GCUUACGGCCAUAUCAGCCUGGGUUCACCCGAUCUUGUCUGAUCUCGGAAGCUAAGCAGGGUCGGGCCUGGUUAGUACUUGGAUGGGAGACCGCCUGGGAAUACCAGGUGCUGUAAGCA
rnacentral:rRNA from 1 species